UACGUAGGGUGCAAGCGUUGUCCGGAAUUAUUGGGCGUAAAGAGCUCGUAGGCGGUCUGUCGCGUCGGACGUGAAAAUCCAGGGCUCAACCCUGGACCUGCGUUCGAUACGGGCAGACUAGAGUUCGGUAGGGGAGACUGGAAUUCCUGGUGUAGCGGUGAAAUGCGCAGAUAUCUGGAGGAACACCGGUGGCGAAGGCGGCAUCCUGGACCAUUAUUGACGCUGAGGAGCGAAAGCCAGGGGAGCAAACGGG
rnacentral:rRNA from 1 species